UACGGAGGAUGCGAGCGUUAUCCGGAUUUAUUGGGUUUAAAGGGUGCGUAGGCGGGCUGUUAAGUCAGCGGUCAAAUGUCGGGGCUCAACCCCGGCCUGCCGUUGAAACCGGCGGCCUCGAGUGGGCGAGAAGUAUGCGGAAUGCGCAGUGUAGCGGUGAAAUGCUUAGAUAUUGCGCAGAACUCCGAUUGCGAAGGCAGCAUACCGGCGGCGAUCUGACGCUGAGGCACGAAAGCGUGGGUAUCGAACAGG
rnacentral:rRNA from 1 species